CAGGGAGAAGCUGAGUUGUUGAAGAGACACAAACUUCCACAUUCAACACAGUUCAAACAUUAACUCUGAUCAUCAUGGACUAUUGUGGACUUUCUCUACUUGUUGUCUCACUUCUAACAGGCGUCCAAUCUGAUCUUCUGGUCCCAGUAAAGAAUGAAGAGUUCAGCCUAGAAAGCAGCUCUGUAACUCUGUCCUAUAAUUUAUCUAGAGAAGUUCUCAGCAAUGAUUAUUUCUUCUGGUACCGUCAGUAUCCAGGAGAACCUCCAGAGAUUCUGGUCUCUCACUCUCCUUCAGGGGUUGAAGGAAUUAAAAAUGUUCCUGAACUGAAGAUUGAAGUGAGCAAAACCCAGAUGGACCUGCUGAUCUCCUCUGCUGCAGUGACUGACUCUGCUGUGUACUACUGUGCUGUGAAGCCCACAGUGACAGGAAACACCAGAACUCUGCACAAGAACCUGCAAUACUCCACAGCAUCCACUAGAGGGCCUCACACACUGUUCCUCCUCUAUGGUUUGUUAGGAUUCAGUCUGAUUGUUUGUGCAGCUGAGAAUAAAGCAGACAUCAGAGUGUUUGCUGCAUCAUUGAACUCUUUAUGAUGAGAAGGUUUGGAUCAUAAAGGAGGGAUGAUGGAGGCUCCAGGAUGGAGGUGCAGCCUCUGCAGGACAUCAGCACCAUGGACAGAGUGCUGUUCCACCAUCUAGAUGUGUUUCAAUCAAGUUUUGUCCUGCUGUCAGACCACUGAUCUUCUACACAGAGAUUUAUGUCCACAGGCUAAAACCUUGU